UACGAAGGGGGCUAGCGUUGUUCGGAAUUACUGGGCGUAAAGCGCACGUAGGCGGACAUUUAAGUCAGGGGUGAAAUCCCGGGGCUCAACCCCGGAACUGCCCUUGAAACUGGAUGGCUAGAAUCCUGGAGAGGCGAGUGGAAUUCCGAGUGUAGAGGUGAAAUUCGUAGAUAUUCGGAAGAACACCAGUGGCGAAGGCGACUCGCUGGACAGGUAUUGACGCUGAGGUGCGAAAGCGUGGGGAGCAAACAGGG
rnacentral:rRNA from 1 species